UGCAGUCGAACGGUAACAGAUAAGAUGAUCUCUUCGGAGUGAAUCUUUGCUGACGAGUGGCGGACGGGUGAGUAAUGCUUGGGAAUCUGCCCAAUAGUGGGGGAAAACUCGGGGAAACCCGGGCUAAUACCGCAUAAUCUCUACGGAGGAAAGAGGGCCUCUACAUGUAAGCUCUCGCUAAUGGAUGAGCCCAAGUCAGAUUAGCUAGUUGGUAAGGUAAUGGCUUACCAAGGCUACGAUCUGUAGCUGGUCUGAGAGGAUGAUCAGCCACACUGGGACUGAGACACGGCCCAGACUCCUACGGGAGGCAGCAGUGGGGAAUAUUGCACAAUGGGCGCAAGCCUGAUGCAGCAAUGCCGCGUGUGUGAAGAAGGCUCGCUCUAGGGUUGUAAAGCACUUUCAAUAGAGAAGAAAAGCUUGAAAUUAAUACUUUCAAGCCUUGACGUAAUCUAUACAAGAAGCACCGGCUAAUUCCGUGCCAGCAGCCGCGGUGAUACGGGAGGUGCGAGCGUUAAUCGGAAUUACUGGG
rnacentral:rRNA from 1 species